rnacentral:rRNA from 1 species
GAACGGCAGCGCGGGGCAACCUGGCGGCGAGUGGCGAACGGGUGAGUAAUAUAUCGGAACGUACCCUGGGGUGGGGGAUAACGUAGCGAAAGUUACGCUAAUACCGCAUACGAUCUAAGGAUGAAAGUGGGGGAUCGCAAGACCUCAUGCUCCUGGAGCGGCCGAUAUCUGAUUAGCUAGUUGGUGGGGUAAAGGCCUACCAAGGCAUCGAUCAGUAGCUGGUCUGAGAGGACGACCAGCCACACUGGAACUGAGACACGGUCCAGACUCCUACGGGAGGCAGCAGUGGGGAAUUUUGGACAAUGGGCGCAAGCCUGAUCCAGCAAUGCCGCGUGAGUGAAGAAGGCCUUCGGGUUGUAAAGCUCUUUUGUCAGGGAAGAAACGGUGAGGGCUAAUAUCCCUUGCUAAUGACGGUACCUGAAGAAUAAGCACCGGCUAACUACGUGCCAGCAGCCGCGGUAAUACGUAGGGUGCAAGCGUUAAUCGGAAUUACUGGGCGUAAAGCGUGCGCAGGCGGUUUUGUAAGUCUGUCGUGAAAUCCCCGGGCUCAACCUGGGAAUUGCGAUGGAGACUGCAAGGCUAGAAUCUGGCAGAGGGGGGUAGAAUUCCACGUGUAGCAGUGAAAUGCGUAGAGAUGUGGAGGAACACCGAUGGCGAAGGCAGCCCCCUGGGUCAAGAUUGACGCUCAUGCACGAAAGCGUGGGGAGCAAACAGGAUUAGAUACCCUGGUAGUCCACGCCCUAAACGAUGUCUACUAGUUGUCGGGUUUUAAUUAACUUGGUAACGCAGCUAACGCGUGAAGUAGACCGCCUGGGGAGUACGGUCGCAAGAUUA